UGCAAAUGAUGUCUAUUCUCACGAUGGUCUUCCAAGUCUCCAUGCAGAGGCUGUGACGAUGAUGCCAAUUGGCUUUACUGAUGCAGUACA